GAGGAGAAGAACUGAACUAACCCACUGCCGGGUUGAACACACUCUGCCAAGCCGUAUAUCAUCGGCUGUGUCAUCGAGACAGAGUUGCGAGAAGAGAAACAUCAUAAUAGAUCUGCUUUGAUAUCUGGACAAUGAAGAUCCUAUUCAUCUUAAUCCUUUGCCUGAUUGAAGGUGGGGUCGUGGCAUUUAACCUGACAGGAUAUGCAGGGGGAUUGAUCCUAAUCAAGUGUAAUUCCACGUUUGACAAAUCUACCAAGUCUUUCUGCAAGGAAGCAAAAACCUUUGGCUGUGAUGAACUUUUUAAGAGCAAUGUGUCAGAACAUUGGCAAGGAAAAGGACGAAUCUCUCUGUAUGACAACAACUCAAAAGGCUUCUUUAAGGUGGCCAUGCGAAACUUAACAGUGAGUGAUACUGGCAAAUACUGGUGUAAAGUCAAUGGAAGGAAGAUUAAUGGCACUGAAGUACAUCUGAAUGUAAUUGAAGAUAAAAGAGAAUCCAGGAUUGAGCUUGGAUCUGUGGGACAAGACAUAUCCAUUAAGUGCCCGUAUGACAUAAAGUACACAAAUGAGCUGAAAUACCUGUGUAAAAAUGAAGGUGUUGCAUGCAAGGACAGAAUAAGAACAGGGAUAAAGGACAAAUGGUUCAAUAAUUCUGACAAUCCCAAUAAGGACAAAAAAAGAUUCUCUCUCUACGACAACACCACUGAAGGAAUCUUCACGGUCUCCAUCACAAAUCUCACAAAAGAGGAUGCUGGGAUAUACUGGUCUGGUGUCCAUGUCUCAUUUCAGGAGAACUCUCCCCUCUCAGUGGACAAUAUCACUGAAGUCAUACUGAACGUCA
ensembl:lncRNA